AUGGCCAAUGUUGGAGGCAAUCAGGAGGAGGUAUAUGAUGUGGAGAUGCUCAACCGCGAGCUCUUAGAGUCUCAUCAAUAUACCAUCAAGGCCCUGCAGGAGGUGAAUGCCUUGCUGAAGGCGGAGACAGGUCAGCUGCUGAACGAGAAGGUUGAUCUCUCCAAGAAAACUGUUAGGAUGAGGGACGAGAGAUAUCGGCUGAUCGAGGAGAGGGAUAAGCUGAAGAAUGAGAAAAAACUCCUUAGGGCCGAGAGGAAUGCGCUUAAGAUGAAGGUAGCUCAUUUCAAAAAAGAUGGAGAGAACGGUAGACACAAGAUUCGUCAGUCGAAAUUAAUCUUAGAUCAAGAAAUAUGUUUGACCAACUACCAGGCUCGCUUAGGAAGAUGA
rnacentral:rRNA from 1 species